AUUUAUUAUUUUUCUAAUUUUUGAUGUUUGUGACCACCAAUGUUUAAGUUUGUAGUUAGCUGACCGGUGAUUAGUUUGCUAAGUUGUUAUUCUUAUGUGAAAUUAUGUAUUUUAGUUUAGCAUUGGAGUCACAUAUGACGAAGCACGC